UCCUAUUCGGUGAUCAGGACUGAACACAGACCACUCACCAUGGAGUUUGGGCUGAGCUGGGUUUUCCUUAUUGCCAUUUUAAGAGGUGUCCAGUGUGAGGUGCAGCUGGUGGAGUCUGGGGGAGGCUUGGUGAAGCCUGGGGGGUCUCUGAGACUCUCCUGUGCAGCCUCUGGAUUCACCUUCAGCAGCUAUGUCAUGCACUGGGUCCGCCAGGCUCCAGGGAAGGGACUAGAGUGGGUCUCAUACCUUAAUAAAGAUAGUAGUAGCACAAACUACGCUGACUCCGUGAAGGGCCAAUUCACCAUCUCCAGAGACAACUCCAAGAACACCCUGUAUCUGCAAAUGAACAGCCUGAGAACGGAGGACACGGCCGUGUAUUACUGUGCAACAGACACAGUGAGAGGAAGUCAGUGUGAGCCCAGACAAAAACCUCCCUGCAGGAGGGGAUCGGGACCACCAGGGGCGCUCAGGGCCUGCACACAAGGACCAUCACAGAGGCAGAAGAGGACGGAGUAA